rnacentral:rRNA from 1 species
GACGAACGCUGGCGGCGUGCCUAAUACAUGCAAGUCGAACGCUUCUUUCCUCCCGAGUGCUUGCACUCAAUUGGAAAGAGGAGUGGCGGACGGGUGAGUAACACGUGGGUAACCUACCCAUCAGAGGGGGAUAACACUUGGAAACAGGUGCUAAUACCGCAUAACAGUUUAUGUCGCAUGGCAUAAGAGUGAAAGGCGCUUUCGGGUGUCGCUGAUGGAUGGACCCGCGGUGCAUUAGCUAGUUGGUGAGGUAACGGCUCACCAAGGCCACGAUGCAUAGCCGACCUGAGAGGGUGAUCGGCCACACUGGGACUGAGACACGGCCCAGACUCCUACGGGAGGCAGCAGUAGGGAAUCUUCGGCAAUGGACGAAAGUCUGACCGAGCAACGCCGCGUGAGUGAAGAAGGUUUUCGGAUCGUAAAACUCUGUUGUUAGAGAAGAACAAGGACGUUAGUAACUGAACGUCCCCUGACGGUAUCUAACCAGAAAGCCACGGCUAACUACGUGCCAGCAGCCGCGGUAAUACGUAGGUGGCAAGCGUUGUCCGGAUUUAUUGGGCGUAAAGCGAGCGCAGGCGGUUUCUUAAGUCUGAUGUGAAAGCCCCCGGCUCAACCGGGGAGGGUCAUUGGAAACUGGGAGACUUGAGUGCAGAAGAGGAGAGUGGAAUUCCAUGUGUAGCGGUGAAAUGCGUAGAUAUAUGGAGGAACACCAGUGGCGAAGGCGGCUCUCUGGUCUG